rnacentral:tRNA from 1 species
GGCGAGGUCGGAUAGUGGUUAUUCCGGAACACUCGAAUUGUCUAUACGAAAUGUUCUGCCUAACGGCGCGUGAGUUCGAAUCUCACCCUCGUCG